CCUGCCCGGUGAUUAAUUUUUUAACGGCCGCGGUACCCUGACCGUGCGAAGGUAGCAUAAUCAUUCGCCUUUUAAUUGGAGGCUAGUAUGAAUGGACACACGAGAGAUCAGCUGUCUCUCUCGCGCACCUGUAAAUUGAACUGUAAGUGAAGAUGCUUACAUAAAAACGCAGGACAAAAAGACCCUAUUGAGUUUUACCCAGCCCCUAGCGUGCCUUAAAUUAGCUACAAUUAAGGACCUAUAGAAUUAGGGUUUGAUUGGGGCAAUCGGGGACCAAGUUUAUCGUCCCCAACCAACUUUUUUUUUACCCAAAGACCCAUAUACAUGAUUAAAAGAAUUAACUACCAUAGGGAUAACAGGCUAAUCUUCCUAGAGAGACCAUAUUGACAGGAAGGGUUGGCACCUCGAUGUUGGCUUAGGGUACCCCUUAAAUGCAGAAGUUUAAAAAGGUGGGUUUGUUCAACCCAUAACACCCU
rnacentral:rRNA from 1 species